GACGAACGCUGGCGGCGUGCUUAACACAUGCAAGUCGAACGGAAAGGCCCUGCUUUUGUGGGGUGCUCGAGUGGCGAACGGGUGAGUAACACGUGAGUAACCUGCCCUUGACUUUGGGAUAACUUCAGGAAACUGGGGCUAAUACCGGAUAGGAGCUCCUGCUGCAUGGUGGGGGUUGGAAAGUUUCGGCGGUUGGGGAUGGACUCGCGGCUUAUCAGCUUGUUGGUGGGGUAGUGGCUUACCAAGGCUUUGACGGGUAGCCGGCCUGAGAGGGUGACCGGCCACAUUGGGACUGAGAUACGGCGCAGACUCCAACGGGAGGCAGCAGUGGGAAAUAUUGCACAAUGGGCGGAAGCCUGAUGCAGCAACGCCGCGUGCGGGAUGACGGCCUUCGGGUUGUAAACCGCUUUCGCCUGUGACGAAGCGUGAGUGACGGUAAUGAGUAAAGAAGCACCGGCUAACUACGUG
rnacentral:rRNA from 1 species